ensembl:lncRNA
UAUAUAGAUAACUUUAUUAUCAUACAUUCCCAUGGUAUUGAAACAUGUAGUCAUGGUUUAAAAUGCUUUCCAGGACACUUCUCUUAUAAGACACGUUAAAAUGCUAAUUAUUUAAUGUGGAUGAGUUACUUAUGGUUGAAAAUACUUUACAAAGAGUCUUUAUUUAAUUUAGCUAUAUACACACACACACUCACACAUACAAAGUACAUACAUUUGUUUUUGUCAGUUUACUUUUCUUUUUCAAAUAAAACUUUGAAAAGUGUUGAUCAGCUGGUACAGUACGCCAGAGGGGGGUGGGCUGAGAGACAACAGUAAGCUGAAAGGGGCGCGCUGAGAGACAAGGUGCACCAUUGGGAGAUUUGACCUUUGACCUGUUGGGAGCAAACGGAUAUGGACGCAACAUUAGAGCCACAGCAAAGGCUGCUGGGAGUUACAGCACACCUCUCUCUAGUCUACAUCUAUACGUAUCUAUCCCAAUCUGUUCAUCUUGGGUUAACUAGCUACUAGCUAUCUUGUUCAUCUUGGGUUAACUAGCUACUAGCUAUCCUGUUCAUCCUCAGUUAACUAGCUAGUAGCUAUCCUGUUCAUCUUAGGUUAACUAGCUACAAGCUAUCUUGUUCAUCUUGGGUUAACUAGCUACUAGCUAUCCUGUUCAUCCUCGGUUAACUAGCUACUAGCUAUCCUGUUCAUCCUCGGUUAACUAGCUACUAGCUAUCCUGUUCAUCCUCGGUUAACUAGCUACUAGCUAUCCUGUUCAACCUUGGUUAACUAGCUACUAGCUAUCCUGUUCAUCUUGGGAUAACUAGUUACUAGCUAUCCUGUUCAUCCUCAGUUAACUAGCUCGUAGCUAUCCUGUUCAUCCUCAGUUAACUAGCUCGUAGCUAUCCUGUUCAUCCUCAGUUAACUAGCUACUAGCUAUCCUGUUCAUCUUGGGUUAACUAGCUACUAGCUAUCUUGUUCAUCCUCGGUUAACUAGCUACUAGCUAUCCUGUUCAUCUUGGGAUAACUAGUUACUAGCUAUCCUGUUCAUCCUCAGUUAACUAGCUCGUAGCUAUCCUGUUCAUCUUGGGUUAACUAGCUACUAGCUAUCCUGUUCAUCUUGGGUUAACUAGCUACUAGCUAUCCUGUUCAUCCUCAGUUAACUACCUACUAGCUAUCCUGUUCAUCUAGGGAUAACUAGUUACUAGCUAUCCUGUUCAUCCUCGGUUAACUAGCUACUAGCUAUCCUGUUCAUCCUCGGUUAACUAGCUACUAGCUAUCCUGUUCAUCCUCGGUUAACUAGUUACUAGCUAUCCUGUUCAUCCUCGGUUAACUAGUUACUAGCUAUCCUGUUCAUCCUCAGUUAACUAGCUGGUAGCUAUCCUGUUCAUCUUGGGUUAACUAGCUACUAGCUAUCCUGUUCAUCCUCAGUUAACUAGCUACUAGCUAUCCUGUUCAACCUUGGAUAACUAGUUACUAGCUAUCCUGUUCAUCCUCAGUUAACUAGCUCGUAGCUAUCCUGUUCAUCCUCAGUUAACUAGCUACUAGCUAUCCUGUUCAUCUUGGGUUAACUAGCUACUAGCUAUCCUGUUCAUCCUCAGUUAACUAGCUACUAGCUAUCCUGUUCAUCUUGGGUUAACUAGCUACUAGCUAUCCUGUUCAUCCUCAGUUAACUAGCUACUAGCUAUCCUGUUCAACCUUGGAUAACUAGUUACUAGCUAUCCUGUUCUUCCUCGGUUAACUAGCUACUAGCUAUCCUGUUCAUCCUCGGUUAACUAGCUACUAGCUAUCCUGUUCAUCCUCGGUUAACUAGCUACUAGCUAUCCUGUAAUCAAACCCCGACAUCUACCCCCAAUCUAUUCAUCUUGCCUCCCUCUCCAAGGUUCACCCAUUCUCACUAUUGAAUAGGUUAUAUUAACUUCCCUACAUCCUACUGUAAACACAGCAAAAAAAACAGUUGUACGUUCUCUUCUAUAUCCUCUAUGUUGUCUUGUGAUAACCAGAGGUCUACUACUCAGGUCUUCUACUACGGGGAGUAUUGGAGGGCAAAACGCAGGGUAGGUCGUGGUUUGGAGAGUAAACAGAUGGGCUGCUGGUGGGACCCAGAGUUUAGUGGUGUUCUAGGGGUGACGGGGGGCAGGAUGGGAGGAAGGGUUGGAUGAUGCAACAGUGGAGGUGGGAGGAGCUGAUGAUGGAGGAGGAGACUGUUUUGUUUGGGCUUUACCUCAGGCUCAGAGGUCAGGGGUCAGACGGGCAACGGACAAUCAGAUCAGCCCGUGAAGGCCUGGAAGUGUGAGUCUGAAACAGGAAGCACAGCAAGUAAGAAGAGUGACACAGAGAGAAAAACGCCAGGUUUUGGCUAGAUGGAGUACAACGACUGACCAAAAGUUGCAUGGUCCAGUCGCUUCAGGGACAACUGUAGAAAUGUGAGCUAAAGUCACUUCUGUCCGUAGCUGUACCCCAUCUAGCCAAAACCAAAAGACCAGAACAAAAUAAUAAAUACAUCUAGGGGAAUCUAGAACUUAAUCAGAGCCUGUAUUCACAAAGUGUCUCAGAGUAAUAUUGCUGAUCUAGGAUCAGUGUUGCCCCUUAACGUUCUAAUUAAUAACAUGGGGGACCUGAUCCUAGACGCUUUGUGACAACCGGCCCAGAAGUGAUCAAAAGAACAACAAAAUGAGCCCUAGAAGAAGUACUUGCUCAGAACAGAAAAACCCACCAGAAAACAGAGUGAUAUAUGUGAGCUAUGACUUGGCCCUGAUAGGCCUAUGGCUAGCCUUCAAAGACACAAUAACAUUAAUAUGGAAGCUAGCCAUAUGGUUGAUGCUAGGUUGAUGCUAGGUGGGAUUGGGCCAUCCAAAGGAUUCUCCCUAGCAUCAACCUGUUAUAAGGUUAACUGUAAAUGGAGAAUCUAGAGCGACCAGAGAGGUGAACACAUAAAGAUGGAAAUAGUUUGAUCUCUGUGCGUGAGCAGAUAGAAUGACAGACGAUAGCAUUUGUGUCUACCAAGAGAGGGUGAGGUUAAGUUGGACCAGAGCAGCGUCUUAAGAACAAACACGAAGCAAUUUAUCACCUAAUGUAAGCUAUAGUCUCCCUUUCUUUCACCACAUACUGAAGUUUGUAUUUCUCUUUUUUUGUGUAUUUUAUGUUGUAAUUGUAGUGUUUGUAUUAAGACAAUUCAACAAUAUAUAGUACAUAUCUCUGGAAAUGUUGGUGAAGAGUACAUACUCCUAUCAGAUGGAUAAAAUAAAAGGGGAAUAUAGACUUCAAUAUGUAUUAAAUCAUUUCAUAUCUAGAUGGUAUUAUCUUCAAACAUAAAAGGGAGGCUUUCUCCUGUUAAAAAACAAACAUUAUUUCAUUUCUAAAGAAGAAAAAGGUGCCUAAAGCGAUUCUCCAAGAGAACCAUUUCACAGAUUUGGAACAUCGGACAUUUAAGAAAGAUCAUGUUGGACAAAUGUUCUCAGCCUCCUAUAAUAGCCAAAAUAGAGAGAUUUACAAAUUCACAAGAAUCUGCCUCUUAAAAGAUAUUCUAUCCAAGCUGUAUCACCACAGGCCAUUAUUGGGAGUCCCAUAGGGCGGUGCAGUUUUGGCUAGAUGGAGUACAACGACUGACCAAAAGUUGCAUGGUCCAGUCGCUUCGGGGACAACUGUAGAAUUUGAGCUAAAGUCACUUCUGUCCGUAGCUGUACCCCAUCUAGCCAAAACCAAAGGACCAGAAAAAAAAGAAAAAUACAUCUAGGGGAAUCUAGAACUUAAUCAGAGCCUGUAUUCACAAAGUGUCUCAGAGUUAUUGUGCUGAUCUAGGAUCAGUGUUGCCCCUUAACGUCCUAAUUAAUAACAUGGUGGACCUGAUCCUAGACACUUUGCCUCGUAAAGUUAUUAUAUCCAGGCUGUCAUUGUAAAUAAGACUUUGUUCUUAACUGACUUGCCUACUUAAAUAAAGGUGAAAUAAAUACAAAUUUAAAAAAAUUAAAGUUGAUUAUUAUGAGGCUGCUAGGUUUUCCUACAUGGCUCUCUUUAAGGGUGAGAGAGCAACAUUCUACGGCCAAGCAUUUCGCUACACUCGCAUUAACAUCUGCUAACCAUGUGUAUGUGACAAAUAAAAUUUGAUUUGAAUUUGAUUUGAUUUGGCUCUUUUUCACCAGAUUAAUACAUCUGGUUUUGGAGUAUAGCUGUUAUUUUGGUGGUGAUUGGAAUGCUGGACUCGAUGUGAAUCUUGACAAGCAACCAAAGCCUACUACACUAAAGAUAGGCCCCAGGUCAAAAACUAUACACCAAAUGUUAGACGUGAUUGGUCUAACGGAUGUGUGGAGACUUUUCAAUCCUGCCAAUAGAAAUGAUACAUGGUAUUCUAAUCUGCAUAAAUCAUACUGCAGGAUUGACUUCUUCCUGGUUCCCCGGAUUACCACUGAUUUAGUUCAGAAAUGUACUAUUGGGUCUAUCCAUAUCUCCAAUCCCAACCCAGUUUCAUUCCAGCUUCCUUAUUUCCAAUUCAAACCACCAGAGGUUCAAUUGGCAAUGUAAUAAUUCUGUACUAUCAGCUGCAGAUGUUUAUUCAGGUGAUUGAUAAUGAUGACACUGAUUCGUUAUUAACUUUGAGGCUAAAUCCUAUUAUACCCACUAUUGUGGUUCCAGACCCAACUGAUAUGUGCAAAAUAGGCAGUCCUACUCUGCCUGGAGAUUGUUAGAAAUACUGCAGUAUUCUAAAGUCAAAAAAAGGGGAUGCUCUCUCUCCGGAAAAAAUCAACAUCAUUUGAUAGAAUUGAGUGGUACCAUCUUUUUAAGACUGCAACAAUUGUCUUUUGGAGAGGCACUCACUGACUGGGUCACACUUAUUUACUCAGCCCCUCAAGCAGGUGUUCCUAUAAACGGCACAGUAUUGCAUCCCUUCCUCAUAGGUAGAGGCACAAAACAAGGGUGUCCUCAAUCUCCCUUCUUAUUUGCUUUGGUUAUGAAACGAGCAGAGUUUAGCCUCUGUCCCGAUGUUCAUUCAGAUAUUUAAUGACUUCAGUUACUUUUCUGGUUAUAAGAUUAAUUUUGGGAAACCAGUGGCUCUCCCACUUGGAAAAUAAAGAAAUGGCGGUUAUGAUAUCAUUUAGUACCUUGAGCGUGGCUGAGGUUCCCCCGUGACCGGCUCGGAAACCGGAUUGCACAGCGGAGAAGGUACGGUGGGAAUCUAAAUGGUCAGUGAUCUGUUUAUUAACUUGGCUUUCAAAGACUUUAGAGAGGCAGGGUAGGAUGGAUAUAGGUCUGUAACAGUUUGGGUCUAGGGGCAGGGCAGGAUAGAUAUAGGUCUGUAACAGUUUGGGUCUAGAGGCAGGGCAGGGCAGGAUGGAUAUAGGUCUGUAACGGUUUGGGUCUAGAGGCAGGGCAGGGCAGGAUAGAUAUAGGUCUGUAACAGUUUGGGUCUAGAGGCAGGGCAGGGCUAUAUUCACUCUGUACCUCAAUAUAAAACUAUAUUCACUCUGUACCUCAAUAUAAAACUAGAUUAACUCUGUACCUCAAUAUAAAACUAGAUUAACUCUGUACCUCAAUUUAAAACAGCCUUGAACACUAAUCAAUACAAAACAGCCUGGAACACUAAUCAAUAUAAAACAGCCUGGAACACUAAUCAAUAUAAAACAGCCUGGAAC